rnacentral:rRNA from 1 species
UUCGCCCUUAGAGUUUGAUCCUGGCUCAGGACGAACGCUGGCGGCGUGCCUAACACAUGCAAGUCGAACGAAGCUUGACGAUAGAUUCUUCGGAUGAAGAUCUAGGUGACUGAGUGGCGGACGGGUGAGUAACGCGUGGGGAACCUGCCCCUCACAGGGGGAUAGCAUUUAGAAAUGACUGGUAAUACCGCAUAAGACCACAGCACCGCAUGGUGCAGGGGUAAAAACUCCGGUGGUAUGAGAUGGACCCGCGUCUGAUUAGGUAGUUGGUGGGGUAACGGCCUACCAAGCCGACGAUCAGUAGCCGACCUGAGAGGGUGACCGGCCACAUUGGGACUGAGACACGGCCCAAACUCCUACGGGAGGCAGCAGUGGGGAAUAUUGCACAAUGGGGGAAACCCUGAUGCAGCGACGCCGCGUGGAGGAAGAAGGUCUUCGGAUUGUAAACUCCUGUUGUUGAGGAAGAUAAUGACGGUACUCAACAAGGAAGUGACGGCUAACUACGUGCCAGCAGCCGCGGUAAAACGUAGGUCACAAGCGUUGUCCGGAAUUACUGGGUGUAAAGGGAGCGCAGGCGGGAAGACAAGUUGGAAGUGAAAUCCAUGGGCUCAACCCAUGAACUGCUUUCAAAACUGUUUUUCUUGAGUAGUGCAGAGGUAGGCGGAAUUCCCGGUGUAGCGGUGGAAUGCGUAGAUAUCGGGAGGAACACCAGUGGCGAAGGCGGCCUACUGGGCACCAACUGACGCUGAGGCUCGAAAGUGUGGGUAGCAAACAGGAUUAGAUACCCUGGUAGUCCACACCGUAAACGAUGAUUACUAGGUGUUGGAGGAUUGACCCCUUCAGUGCCGCAGUUAACACAAUAAGUAAUCCACCUGGGGAGUACGACCGCAAGGUUGAAACUCAAAGGAAUUGACGGGGGCCCGCACAAGCAGUGGAGUAUGUGGUUUAAUUCGACGCAACGCGAAGAACCUUACCAAGUCUUGACAUCCCUUGACGAUGCUGGAAACAGUAUUUCUCUUCGGAGCAAGGAGACAGGUGGUGCAUGGUUGUCGUCAGCUCGUGUCGUGAGAUGUUGGGUUAAGUCCCGCAACGAGCGCAACCCUUAUGGUCAGUUACUACGCAAGAGGACUCUGGCCAGACUGCCGUUGACAAAACGGAGGAAGGUGGGGAUGACGUCAAAUCAUCAUGCCCUUUAUGACUUGGGCUACACACGUACUACAAUGGCGUUAAACAAAGAGAAGCAAGACCGCGAGGUGGAGCAAAACUCAGAAACAACGUCCCAGUUCGGACUGCAGGCUGCAACUCGCCUGCACGAAGUCGGAAUUGCUAGUAAUCGUGGAUCAGCAUGCCACGGUGAAUACGUUCCCGGGCCUUGCACACACCGCCCGUCA